AUUGAACGCUGGCGGCAUGCUUUACACAUGCAAGUCGAACGGUAACAGGCCGCAAGGUGCUGACGAGUGGCGAACGGGUGAGUAAUGCAUCGGAACGUGCCCAGUCGUGGGGGAUAACUACUCGAAAGAGUAGCUAAUACCGCAUACGAUCUAUGGAUGAAAGCGGGGGACCGUAAGGCCUCGCGCGAUUGGAGCGGCCGAUGUCAGAUUAGGUAGUUGGUGGGGUAAAGGCUCACCAAGCCAACGAUCUGUAGCUGGUCUGAGAGGACGACCAGCCACACUGGGACUGAGACACGGCCCAGACUCCUACGGGAGGCAGCAGUGGGGAAUUUUGGACAAUGGGCGCAAGCCUGAUCCAGCAAUGCCGCGUGUAGGAAGAAGGCCUUCGGGUUGUAAACUGCUUUUGUACGGAACGAAACGGCUCUGGUUAAUACCCGGGGCUAAUGACGGUACCGUAAGAAUAAGCACCGGCUAACUACGUG
rnacentral:rRNA from 1 species